UACAGAGGUCCCGAGCGUUGUUCGGAUUCACUGGGCGUAAAGGGUGCGUAGGCGGUCGGAUAAGUUUGAUGUGAAAUCUCCGGGCUUAACCCUGAAAUGGCAUUGAAUACUGCUGUGCUGGAGGUUUGGAGGGGGGACUGGAAUUCUUGGUGUAGCAGUGAAAUGCGUAGAUAUCAAGAGGAACACCAGUGGCGAAGGCGAGUCCCUGGACAACACCUGACACUGAGGCACGAAAGCUAGGGGAGCAAACAGG
rnacentral:rRNA from 1 species